rnacentral:rRNA from 1 species
GAUAUUUGAGAAGAGCUGCUCCUAGUACGAGAGGACCGGAGUGGACAUACCUCUGGUGUUCCGGUUGUUAUGCCAAUAGCAUUGCCGGGUAGCUACGUAUGGAAAGGAUAACCGCUGAAAGCAUCUAAGCGGGAAGCCUCCUUCAAGAUUAGAUAUCCCUGAAACCUUUGAGUUUCCUUAAGGUCCGUCGAAGACUACGACAUUGAUAGGCUGGGUGUGUAAGCGCUGUAAGGCGUUGAGCUAACCAGUACUAAUUGACCGUGAGGCUUGAUCAUAUAACGCUCAAGUAGUU